rnacentral:ncRNA from 2 species
GGCAGUACCGGGAGAGCGACCUGGUAACUGGCAGAAAUAGCUCCCUUGGCACGAGCGAUUGCCAGGGGGAGCUUUCUGCGCUCUUCAGAUCUCUGAAAAGAGUUGGUGCAUUCGCGCUAAAGCCUUGUAUAGCGACGAACUUGUUUUCAGCGGAUACCGCAUCGCUCGGGGAGAACGUCGUUCUCCUCGCGGUUCUGUGGCCUCA